rnacentral:tRNA from 1 species
GGGCAUGUGGUGUAGUUGGUUAUCACGCUCGCUUAGCAAAUCUGCUUGAACUUGCGAGAGGGGUCCGGUUCAAUCCCGGACAUGUCCA